rnacentral:lncRNA from 1 species
AGAAGCCUGUUCUACCUAAGAGAGAGAACUGGACAAAAAUGCUGAACAGAUUGAUGGUUCACACUCUGUUUCAAAUAUAGAAAAUUAUCUAGAUGAAUGGAGUAAUUUCUCCUUAAGAAGAAAAUCCUCAGAAUUUCCAGGCUAACACCUGGAAGCCAUCACCUGCAGAUGCCCAGCCGCCACACACUGUACCCUGCACAGCGGUGUGGGUGCUAAUGGAGAGACCUUGAUCCACCAGUGCACAGUAGGGAAAAUAAACAUACACCUCUCUUUGAAGUAGAAUGGAGAGUGACUCCGUGAAGUCAAGGGGCAUUGUGAAAGAAUGCAAAGCAAAAGGUUUUUCACUAAAGUCUCAUGUAAAUAAAAGUGGUCCUGGGAGGAGAAAAAACAAUACACAGCUGAGAAGAAAUCAACUUUGGUCCCUCCCAUUUCCGGAGCUGUUUGUAAAACAACUAGUAUACUAUAGCAUGCAAAAGAAACAAGAAUGUGAAGAGUUCAGUGUUACCUAAGAAUGAUUGAGCAUCUUUUCAUUAUAUUUCCUUAACCAGACAAAAAAAGUUAUCAUUCUUUCUAAUUAUAUGAAUCAUCAAAUCCUGUCCACACACAAUUUUUUUAUUGUAGUAAAACAUACAUAACAUAAAAUUGAGCAUUUUACCCGUUUAAAAGGGUAAGUUCAAUGGCAUUGAAUGUUGUGAAACCAUCAUCACUAUCUAGUUUCAGAAUAUUUUUAUCAUCCCACAAAGGAAAACCCAUAUCCAUUGAAUCUCCAUCCUCCCCGCC